UACGGAGGGUGCAAGCGUUGUCCGGAAUCACUGGGCGUAAAGGGCGCGUAGGCGGCUCAUGAAGGCUGUGGUGAAAGUCCGGGGCUCAACCUCGGAUCGGCCGUGGCGACUCGUGGGCUGGAGCACUGUAGAGGCGGGUGGAAUUCCGGGUGUAGCGAUGGAAUGCGUAGAGAUCCGGAAGAACACCAGUGGCGAAGGCGGCCCGCUGGGCAGUGGCUGACGCUGAGGCGCGAAAGCGUGGGGAGCAAACAGG
rnacentral:rRNA from 1 species